rnacentral:rRNA from 1 species
AUUGAACGCUGGCGGCAUGCCUUACACAUGCAAGUCGAACGGUAACAGGUCUUCGGCUGCUGCCGAGUGGCGCACGGGUGAGUAAUACAUCGGAACGUGCCCGAUCGUGGGGGAUAACGCAGCGAAAGCUGUGCUAAUACCGCAUACGAUCUACGGAUGAAAGCGGGGGAUCGCAAGACCUCGCGCGGACGGAGCGGCCGAUGGCAGAUUAGGUAGUUGGUGGGAUAAAAGCUUACCAAGACGACGAUCUGUAGCUGGUCUGAGAGGACGACCAGCCACACUGGGACUGAGACACGGCCCAGACUCCUACGGGAGGCAGCAGUGGGGAAUUUUGGACAAUGGGCGCAAGCCUGAUCCAGCCAUGCCGCGUGCAGGAUGAAGGCCUUCGGGUUGUAAACUGCUUUUGUACGGAACGAAAAAGCUCUCUCUAAUACAGGGGGUGAAUGACGGUACCGUAAGAAUAAGCACCGGCUAACUACGUG